AAAGGAAGUCUUCCUAAUAAAGGGAUAAUAUAUUAUUGACAUUGUUAGAUAAAUAAGAGAGAACUUAGGUAAAUAGUUUCCUGUAUAUCACUUCCUGUACAAGGGUUUGGAUUGGAGAACAGACUUUGUACAUGUAAUCUAAGUUGACAAAUCAAGCAGUGAAUUGAACUUGAAGAUUAGAAAGGAAUUGUGUUUCGUCCUUACACAGAAGAAAUAAACAACAUGAAUGUCUAUCGCCAACCAGCGCAGUGGGAAGACAAACGGACCAAAGAUUUACGGAAUCAAGUUACACUACUGAAUACACAUCUUGGUGUACAAAGGUCAAAGUUGUCAUCAACGAUACCAGAACUUGUGCAAUACUGUGAGAAGCACGCCGUACAGGAUCCUUUCCUAUUUCCUAUUAGAGACAAUCCUUUUAAACCAAUAAGACGACCGUGUUGUAUUAUAUAGGACGGGAUCAAAACAUGUGUGAAUGUGAUAAAUAUGUGAUUCAACAAAUGAUAGAAGUAACUGUAAUAUAUAUAUUUUCCAUGAAGAAAAAAAUUCUGUUGUUGUAGCUGUUUAAAUAGUAAAUCGUCAGUGGCAUAGCUGUUCAAGAUGUUUAUUGUCAGUGGCAUAGCUGUUCAAGAUGUUUAUUUUCAGUGGCUUAUAUAUAAUGCUAUUGAUUGCCUUCAAAACUCUGUCAAAAUUAUUAUAGUGCCAUCGCUAAAUAGAAAACCAAGAAAAUCUUUUGAAUUUUUUUUAUACUAAAAAUUGUUAAAAAAAAAUUAUAUAUAUUUAUUGCUUAAGAAAUCAUGCCAAACUAGAUAUUUGCUUGUGUGCCUUUAAGUGUGGGUGCUAAUAUAGACAUAUUUGAGAUCUUUAUUGUAUUCCUAUAAAAAUUUGUGAUUUGUGUGCUGUUUAUAUUUUUUUAUAUAAAUGUGAUUACUUUUUUUAUGAUAAAUCAUCUUUUUGACUAUUUACGCUAGUUAAAUUGCUUCUAAAUGAUAUUACAAAAAAAUAAAUAUUUCAUCUUUUUUACUAGCACUAGUAAUAUAUACCAGUUAAAAAUUAUUAAUGGUAUUAAAAAGUAAUAUUUUUUUUGGUAUCAAAUCCAAUAUUUAUUCAAAUUUAAAUUAAGCAAUUCCUUAAUGAUGAUAAACCAUAAGAUUCCAUUUUUUGUUAACUUUAAUAUGAAAAUUGUAUGCUAAAAAUCCUGAUUUAUUAAGACCAAAGAUGAUUCCAUUUGGGAAGAUUUGGGAACAAGGCACAUAGUAACUUUGGACAGCAAAUUUUGCUCAUUCUAUUUUGUGAAAUAUUUUUGCAUUUAAUUCGUUGAAUGUCACUGAAAGUACACAAUAUUAAAAUGUUGAUUAAUCAUCUGAUCAGCUUUCCUUUUUUUUCAAUACAGUAAAACUAUUUAUUUAUGUGGGUUUUGAAUUUUAGGGGCCAAAAUAAUUUCAAGAUUUUUUAUGCAUUUUUUUUGUCUUUUAUUUCAUAAAGAUCAAAUGAAAAUUCGUGUAUAUUUUCACGAUGUUGUCUUUAUGGAAAUGUGAUUAAAUUUUGGAUGUAACAUCUUCUGAUUGGCUGACAUUGUUUUGGUUAUCAGCUCAUAGAUAUAAUUUUGUCAUGUGACCUUGACGUUAUCAAGGUUUUUCAAGGUUUACUCCGGUUUAAAAUGGAAUUUUGAAUUAAAUUAUAAGAAAUCACAUAUAUAUGUUUUGGAAGUGUCAAUUAUCAUGAUACUUGUAAUUAUUUAAUCACUUUGAUCAGCUUGAACACUUUGUAAUUCUAAUAGCUAAAAAGAAAAAAAAAUGUAUUUAGCUAAUCUUUUUUUCAAAUCUAAUGAUAUAAUAUAUUGCAAUGAAAUAUAGACAUACUUUUUAAAGGAAAUCAUUUUUUUCUCAAAACUGUGGUUGUAAUUUGGCAUUUCAAAUCUAUAUUUUAUUUGUUCAGUAGAAUUAUACACACAUCAAAUUUCUAUUGGUUGGUUUAUAGAUUCUUUGUCCGACCCAUUUAUAGAAUCUAUGUAGGUAUUAAUGCAGGUUGAAAUCAGUUUUGCCACCUUUAAGUUUCCUAAGUUUAUUUUCAAGAAAUAGUGUUUAUGAAACAAUAACUAUGAAUAUUUCAGCAGAUCUUAUUUGAACACGAAUAGAUGAUACUGUUUAUUAUUAUGCUGCUACAUUUCCAUUCUGUUGGGCACAUUGUUAUAUAUUUAUAUGGUUUGUAUAUGAAAAUUAAUAUAUACUUAAAUAUAUAUGUUAUGUCAUUAAAAUGCUUUUAUUGUCAUUUACAUUUUUGUUGGUACAAAAGAAGGGGAGAAGGACUUUUAUAUUUCCUUUUGCUAUGGAUUUUUUUUUUACAAGUUAUAUAUCUUAAAAUUUAAGAUAUUCUAUUUACUUUCUGGCUUGAAAAACAUCUUUAGAAUACUAGACAAAAUUAAUUGUGUUAACAGUAGCCUGGGGUUCAGUGACUUUAGUGAAAAGAGCCCCUAGCUCACUCCCUUAACAGUAGAAAGCUUCAGUUCAGAUUAGUGCUGAAAAUAAUCACAUGAUAUCAUCCUAGCCUGGCUCUGCUAAUACUAAAAACACUACGGAGAUUAGACCAUGGUACCAGGCUAAUAAAAUGUAAAGUUAAACUUCACAGUCCUAGUUAUCUUUCUUAAAUCAGAUAAUUUUAGGAUGUAGACUACAUUUGAAUAGGAUAUUCCAAAAUAACAGUUUAUAAGGGUUUUUGCAGUUUCAUAUAAGGUAGAUUUUAGAGAUGCAUAUUGAAAACUAUUUUCAAGUUAGCUGAUUUUCUGAAAUUAAUCAGUUUUUCAAAAAUGAUAUAUAUGGAUGGUGAAGGGUGUUAUAUGUAAUGUACAAGAAAUAAUCAUUGUUUAUUUCUAUAAAUUUGCAACUUGAUUAACUUCACAACAUAUAAAUACAAUGUAUUUGUCUUAAUACAGUCAUGUUUUUGUAACAUAUUUUAUUAUCAUAACAUGCAAAGAACCUAAUGAUACGGAAUCAAAAUAUACUAUAGCAAAGAGCUUACACAUGUGCAAUGUUGUAAUUCAUAUUUGUAAAGGACUACUGUGCAAUGUAUAUUUAUGUGUAAACAAUUUUUCUGAUACCUUUUUGUUCGAAAGUCAAAUUUUACAAGUGAUCUGUUUUACUCUGAUUUUCUAGUGUAACAUUGCAAUUCUUUUACUUUAUCUACAUUGUAAAUUCAACUUGUUAAAUGAUAAAUUGUGCAUGAAGUAAAAACAACAUCCAUCUGAUUUGACCACAUUGUAUUAUUGUAAUUUUAAAGUACACUAGAAAAUGAUGAUAUAUGCACAAAUGACAUUGUCAUAAUGAAACUACAAUGUCAUAAUGAACAAACCACAAUGUCACAAUGAAAAAACACAAUUUCAUAUUAUAUUUGUUGACAAUAACCAGAGUAUUAAAAGUACCAAUGAUUGCCUUGUUUGAUUAUAGUGAUUAAAGUAAUACUGUUUA